rnacentral:rRNA from 1 species
GGGCGUAAAGCGAGCGCAGGCGGAAAAAUAAGUCUGAUGUGAAAGCCCUCGGCUUAACCGAGGAACUGCAUCGGAAACUGUUUUUCUUGAGUGCAGAAGAGGAGAGUGGAACUCCAUGUGUAGCGGUGGAAUGCGUAGAUAUAUGGAAGAACACCAGUGGCGAAGGCGGCUCUCUGGUCUGCAACUGACGCUGAGGCUCGAAAGCAUGGGUAGCGAACAGGAUUAGAUACCCUGGUAGUCCAUGCCGUAAACGAUGAGUGCUAAGUGUUGGGAGGUUUCCGCCUCUCAGUGCUGCAGCUAACGCAUUAAGCACUCCGCCUGGGGAGUACGACCGCAAGGUUGAAACUCAAAGGAAUUGACGGGGGCCCGCACAAGCGGUGGAGCAUGUGGUUUAAUUCGAAGCAACGCGAAGAACCUUACCAGGUCUUGACAUCUAGUGCAAUCUGUAGAGAUACGGAGUUCCCUUCGGGGACGCUAAGACAGGUGG